GAGUAUGUAGCUCAGAGGGAGAGCAAGGAGGCUCUUGAAGUGUGUCUAAAAAAAAGAUCAUGUCUAGAUACACAGUAUCCUGGUCGUCAGAUCGAAACUGACCGUACUCA